AUUGGACUAACUCCAACCCCUGUGACAUACCAAUUGUUGCCUCGGCGGAUCAGCCCGCUCCCGGUAAAACGGGACGGCCCGCCAGAGGACCCCUAAACUCUGUUUCUAUAUGUAACUUCUGAGUAAAACCAUAAAUAAAUCAAAACUUUCAACAACGGAUCUCUUGGUUCUGGCAUCGAUGAAGAACGCAGCAAAAUGCGAUAAGUAAUGUGAAUUGCAGAAUUCAGUGAAUCAUCGAAUCUUUGAACGCACAUUGCGCCCGCCAGUAUUCUGGCGGGCAUGCCUGUUCGAGCGUCAUUUCAACCCUCAAGCCCCCGGGUUUGGUGUUGGGGAUCGGCGAGCCCUUGCGGCAAGCCGGCCCCGAAAUCUAGUGGCGGUCUCGCUGCAGCUUCCAUUGCGUAGUAGUAAAACCCUCGCAACUGGUACGCGGCGCGGCCAAGCCGUUAAACCCCCAACUUCUGAAUGUUGACCUCGGAUCAGGUAGGAAUACCCGCUGAACUUAAGCAUAUCAAUAAGCGGAGGAA
rnacentral:rRNA from 1 species